UUCAGUUUUGACAACUACUGAUGGACCUAUGAGCCAGAAGACCUCGUGGGUACAGGGAGCCACAGGAGGACGCGCGUACCGGUGGACGACUGAUCGGCGGGUCGACUUAGCUACAGACUGAGCCCGGCGAGCCAACCUUUAUUUGCUUUUGAAUGGAGAGAUCCGGAACAUGGAGUAAGUGGGCAACUGACUUGGACUCGAUUGCCACAAGGCUUCAAAAAUUCCCCCACCAUCUUUGAUGAGGCCCUACAUCAGGACUUGGUGGCAUUCAGAUUAAAUAACCCCAAUCUGACUCUCCUCCAAUAUGUAGAUGAUCUCUUGCUGGCAGCACCUACCAGAGAGGCCUGC